UUAUUUUUUCCGACCAAAACUUUCUCUCUCUUUACUUAUUUCUGGAUAUUUCUUUGUUAUUAAUAGUGAUUGUUGCCAAAUCUUUGAAAACAUCUCUUUCUUUUUUUUUUGAGAAAACGUCUCUUCUUCUUGAUUCUUCUGUUUCGUUUACCUGAGUCGCCGAUUCGUUCGCCUACCAGAGUCGAUGCCAUGUUCGACCCCAAGAAAUGAGAAACCCAUUUGGAUAUUCUUCUCUGAGUCUGUCUCUAGCUCGUCUUAAACCUCCCCAAAGUCUCUCAGCUGAUACUGAUCCGAAGAUGAAGCAAAGUUUCUAUGAUGUUUGUAGUGGUCGGAGCUUUAGUCAUUGUAGCAUCCUUAUGAUGCUGGAUAUUGUUGUAUAAAUCGUGUCUUUGACCAACUUUAGUUUUUUUUUUUUGAGAAAGGGCUUGUUUGACCAACUUUAGU
rnacentral:lncRNA from 1 species